UACGGAGGGAGCGAGCGUUGUCCGAAUUUACUGGGCGUAAAGCGCACGUAGGCGGGUAGCCAAGUCCGCUGUGAAAGCCUGGAGCUUAACUCCAGCGGGUCGGUGGAUACUGGCUGUCUUGAAGAUGCUAGGGGGAAAUGGAAUUACCGGUGUAGCGGUGAAAUGCGUAGAUAUCGGUAGGAACACCAUUGGCGAAGGCGGUUUCCUGGGGCAUUCUUGACGCUGAUGUGCGAAAGCUGGGGGAGCGAACGGG
rnacentral:rRNA from 1 species